UACCAUCAUCACAAUCACUGUCCGCACCAUCACCUCCACUCAUGAUCUCACCAUCACUUUCAUUAUUACCACCAUCAUUGUCACUGGUCAAUCAUCAUUCCCACCACUACUAACAUCACCACCAUCAUCUGAUCAUCAUCACCAUCAUCACCAACUCCAUAAUCACCAUCACCACCACCAUCAAUAUCACCACCACCAUCAAUAUCACCACCACCAUCAAUAUCACCACCACCACCAUCAUCAUCACCAACUCCAUAAUCACCAUCAUCACCACCACCAAUAUCACCACCAAUAUCAACACCACCAUCAUCACCAUCACCAUCACCAACUCCAUAAUCACCAUCACCACCACCAUCAAUAUCACCAC